rfam:Cicer arietinum chromosome Ca1, whole genome shotgun sequence.
AUUGGGAAAUGAUGCCAAAGAUUCAAACAGAGGCGCCAGCUCUGCUGAAUUAUUUUUUGCACGUCAGUCUGAUCCCAAA